CUCUCUGAGAUAGUGCCCUUGGGUUCUGCUCCAGCAACACAUCAUGGAAACGUCCGCACACCCUGGGCAGAGCCUGGCCGUGGAAUUUCACUCUCUGUUAGUCUGGUUAACGCGGUGCCAAGGCACAGGCACAGCUCCUGCCCUCCGGCGUCCAGCUCCCUCUAGCACUCUCUGGCACUCUCUGCUGGCCAAGGGGGACUGUGGUGGGCAGAGUUGCUGCCAGAAGCUGGGCACAGAGGUGGGUGCGGACCCGAGCUCACAACUUCACCACCAGCAUCCUGUGAAAAUUAAAGGGAAACUCGCUCCAAUGGAGUUGGGACGCCUGAAGGGGGAGCUCUCAUGUACCCACCUCUUGAGGUCAGUACAGAUCCCAACAGGAAGAGACCUACUUUGCAUCUCUGGCAGGAAGUGACACUACUGCCAGCAGGAAGAAAGAAGAUUCUUCUCCUUACCGGGCAACAGGCCAGCCAAUGAGAGACCUUCACAGCCCAGCCAAUGAAAAGCCACUACACUGCGACCUUGCAGUUUCCUCCAAUGGGUUCUUGGUUCACAACAGCCCCUCCCAAUUCCCCUUCUCCUCUAAAAAAGAAUUUCCGCUUUGCUUUACCAGACUUGCAGUCCUUCUCCACAGCUGUGUUCUUUGCCGAUCGCAGAUUGCAGUCCUUUGUGAUUCCAGGAUAAAUCCAUUUUGCUGAGACCCAGCGCCUCGUCUGUUUCCCUACGUGUGGCUCUAGGUGGCCUGAAAAAAGCAAGUUAUCCUGACGGCAUCUUCAGCUGCACGACUUGCUGACCAGCCCCGUGCUCGGCCUGAGAGAGGGAACCUUAGUAGAGGAUGUACCGGGGCCAGAGCCGGAGAAGGACGUUUUGGACCCAUGGGCGCGCCUGUUCACAGACGCAGAGGCUCGGAGAGCCUGCGUGUCCAGGACGACGCGUAUCAGGAGAGGGGGUCCCUGGCUGUGUUCCCGCUCUGUCCUCCCUAUAGCUCCCCGCACACCCGGAUGUGGCCCCGUGGAGCCGGCCCCCGGGGGCCCGGCAGCUCUCAGAGCGUCUGAGAUGCUGGUCUCCCUGGAAGGCUGCUUCCUCUGCUCAAAGUGGCCCUCCGUUUCUCACUUUUCUGUUUCGAAGGCUGCAUACGAGUGUACCUUCGGCAUGCGUCUCUUUUGGAGAACCUGUCACCUUGAAAGUCGUGCUGCCCAUACAGCAACCCCCCCCCCCAGCAUGGGGAGGGGCCC